rnacentral:rRNA from 1 species
AGUGAACGCUGGCGGUAGGCCUAACACAUGCAAGUCGAACGGCAGCACAGUAAGAGCCUGCUCUUACGGGUGGCGAGUGGCAGACGGGUGAGGAAUACAUCGGAAUCUACUUUUUCGUGGGGGAUAACGUAGGGAAACUUACGCUAAUACCGCAUACGACCUACGGGUGAAAGCAGGGGAUCUUCGGACCUUGCGCGAUUGAAUGAGCCGAUGUCGGAUUAGCUAGUUGGCGGGGUAAAGGCCCACCAAGGCGACGAUCCGUAGCUGGUCUGAGAGGAUGAUCAGCCACACUGGAACUGAGACACGGUCCAGACUCCUACGGGAGGCAGCAGUGGGGAAUAUUGGACAAUGGGCGCAAGCCUGAUCCAGCCAUACCGCGUGGGUGAAGAAGGCCUUCGGGUUGUAAAGCCCUUUUGUUGGGAAAGAAAAGCAGCAGGUUAAUACCCCGCUGUUCUGACGGUACCCAAAGAAUAAGCACCGGCUAACUUCGUG